rnacentral:rRNA from 1 species
UACAGAGGUCUCAAGCGUUGUUCGGAAUCAUUGGGCGUAAAGGGCGUGUAGGCGGUUUGUUAAGUCAUGUGUGAAAUCCCUCGGCUCAACCGGGGGAACGACGCAUGAAACAUGGCAGCUAGAGUACCAAAGAGGGGGGUGGAAUUCCCGGUGUAGCGGUGAAAUGCGCAGAUAUCAGGAGGAACACCGGUGGCGAAGGCGGGGUCGUCUGGGCCGAUACUGACGCUGAGGAGCGAAAGCGUGGGGAGCAAACAGG